CUGGGAAGAGAGGCAAUCGCUCCUAUCAUUUGGUAGGGGAGGAAAGUCUGGACUUUUUAGGAGAGGAUACCAGCGAAAGGCUGGGGGCCGUAAGGCUACGGAAAGUGUAACAGAAAACAUUCCGCUACUUGGCUUUUGGCCAAGUAGACAGGGUGAAAUGCCGACUUUAAGAGAAGGCUCUGCCUAAGGAAACUUAGGAGAUGAUAAACCCUAUCCAAAGCAAGACAAUUAAAGGCGAUGCAGUUCUCCGCUGUGCCUUUUACAAGUCGCUUGAGUGUAUUGGCGACAAUACACCUAGAUGAAUGAUUGCCCUUAACAGUGAUGUUAGAGACAAAAUCCGGCUUAAUAUCUUCCCAGACUU
rnacentral:RNase_P_RNA from 1 species